rnacentral:misc_RNA from 1 species
GUGCAUCCAUCGCGUCUGUGAUUGAGGCUAAAUGUUAAUGCACGUAGUCUAGAUUGUAUCUGAAGCUACGGGAUAUCGACUUGAAACAGCAACGUAUUUUGCAGAUUUGCAGCACGUUUUAACCUGGUUGAUCCCAGAAGCUCGAGAACAAAAUGAGUGCCCAAGAGAAAGAAGAUAGCUCGCAAUUUCGCUGCACGCUGUGUAACUUCACGGCAACCUCUAAAGGCGAGAUUGGCAAUCACUUUCUGACAGAUCACAUGGAAGCCUACGUGUCUCCAGUCAAAGAGGAAGACAAAUCUGGGAGCACCACGGACUCCAAGGGACCAGGCAGUGAUAGAGGCAUAGAUAAAGAAACAGAUGAGGAGAGGGACGAACACGAUGAGAGGGAUAAGGACUAUGUAGAUCUGUUUGAAGAAGUAGAAGAGAAGAAACCAGCACCAAGACCAAGGGGGCGUCCGCCUGGUCGCUCGACCGGGCGCCCAGUGGGGCGUCCACCGAAAAAGAGUACCCAGAAACCUAUCAAAAAACAACCAUACUAUUAUAUAGAGGAGAUAGAUGACAUAAAGGAGGAAGAGCCGGAAGAACCACAGGAAUUCGGGCGAGGAAUGAGGAGAAGGAAAAAGGCAAUUCCAAGGCAUAUUUUGCGAUACGAAUUGGAUGAAGAUGAAUCUAUGGACGAUGAAGAUUACGAUGAGACCGAAAAGAAGAAGGUUCUACCGAAAAAAAGAACCCCAUCUUUCCCUUCUGUAGAACUGAAGCCAAGGGGGAAAAGAGGAAGACCCAGGGGGAGUACGUCGCAGGAGAGGAGCAAGCAAGAUUUCGAGGGUCCAAAAAUCUCAAAGAAGGUUCCGACUUUGUCUAAAUUACCUUUGUCGAAUAAGGUGAUUGAGCGGAUUCUCGAUGACAGAGUAAAUGAAUGGUACUCGACGUUCCAGGAGAGACACGUGUUGCCGAUUCCUUGCCCAUUCGAUGGGUGCGCACUUGACGUCACCCAGGCUGAACUCGAUGUCCACCUUCAAUGCCACGCAGCAAAUUUAGAAGGUUUCCGUUGUCCCAUUGAGGAGUGUAACUUCCUUUGCCCUCAUUGGUCUAAUAUGAGAGUUCAUUACCGUAAAGUGCACGAUCCAGCAUUUUACAGGUUACUCUGUGGUCUUCCUGGAUGUUCCAUGAUCUUCCCCCGCAUUGACAAGAAAUCCAUCUUUGUUCAUGUCACAAGAAAACAUCUUCGUCCUGUAUUGUAUGACGAGAUGUCGAGCAAGAAUUUUAACAAAGAGAAGUACGAAAAAUACAUUUUCGCUGUUAAGGCCGAAGAGGUGGAAUUGAACCAGGCUUUAGAAGAUACUGAAUGUGAUGAAGGGGAAGCAGAGACAUCACUCGGAGAACCAUCUGACGCUAUGCAUGUAGAGGAGAUGAGCGAGAUAGGGAAUACGGAAACGGUGUCUGAAUUCGACACCGAAUAUCCAAAGGUAAAGAGGCGAGGACGUCCUCCUGGAUCUACCAAAGCUGCUAAAUUGGCGAGAAUCGCUGCAGGGGAAAUAAUCGAGAAGAAAGAUAAGAAAGACAAGAAAGACAAGAAAGGGAAAGGCAAGCGCUCGUUCAAUAGAGUCAUGAACAAUGUUUCCUUUUUCUGCGACCUGUGUGGAGGAAAAUACAAAUCUGAACAAGCCGUCUUCGACCACAAAACCCUCCAUUACCGCGACGAUGACUGCAACGUCCUAUGCUGCACAGAAUGUACAGAAUUCACUGCCGAGGAUUCUUCUGAGCUUCGAGAUCACGUUGUUUCAUGUCACAAGAGACUCCUGCAUCUUCAUCGCUGUGACCUCUGCCAGUUUUCAACGAAUCGAUUCCAUGAUCUCAAGAAGCACAUUCUAGUUCAUUCGGGCAGUAAGGACUACAUGUGCGAUAAAUGUGGCACAUGUACUACCACAGCCUACAAUCUUCGAGUGCAUUGGCGUCGCUACCAUGCCCCUGAUUCAGAAAAGACUGUCAAGUGCUUCGCGUGUGACUAUGUCUGUGCUGACAACGGAAUUUUAAAGGAGCAUAUUAGGUCUAAACACGGUAUGAUGGUGUAUGGCAAGGACUUCAAUAAUGCCCGUCCACUGCCGACGUAUUCUUGCACAGAAUGUGACUACGUAGGUCGCAAGAAAUCAAGUCUUGACUACCACAUGCGUAUCCACACUGAGAACCGACAGUUCAAGUGCCACAUCUGCCCUUACGCCAGUAAGACCAAGAACAACCUCUUGCUUCAUAUACGGACACACGAAGGGAUGCAGCCGCUAAAGUGUCCCGAAUGUGACUUCAGAGGUGCAACCAACAAGAUCAUAUCGGAGCAUGUGAUGUGCAAACAUGCUCGAGUUCGUCCUUACACUUGCAAAAUAUGUGGCUGGACGUCGUCUUACCACGGCAAUAUGUGGAAGCACGUAGAGACGCAUCGUCGUGAGCUGGGUGACGCAAUGCCUGAAGAACCGGUCAGUGUCAUCUCUACGGAAGGACAUAUGGUUGCCGCUCCACUCAAGGCACCGACGUUGAAGAAGCGAGGGGGAGGUGGAUCUACGUCACCAUCUGGCAGUGCGGCGAAGACGCCAAAGAUGAGAGGGAAGCGACACAAUCGUCCCCGCUUCGAGGAGAUGGAAGUUACGGUCGAGACCCAGGUGCACGACGGGCAGGAUGACAGCAUGAAGGAAGGUGUAGUUAUUCAGCUCCCAGUGUCCACUGUUCUGGACGGCCAGACAAUUACCCUUGCAGAAGGCAUCAGUGAAGAAGCUGCGAUGGGAGCAUCGGCUCUGAGUCGCCUAUCACAAGGGGGUGAGAUCACCGUCCGCGAGGUUCAUUUCUUGCAAGGUGGAGACAACCAGCAACAGCAACACGAGAUGAUCACCUACAAUGUACCCCCUGUCGCAGUUACCCAGCAAAUCAUCGCAGGUGGGGACAUGAGUCAUGUGAUCAGUGAAGCGCAGUAUCAUCAACAACAUCAGCAGCAUCAGCAGUCGCAGGAGCACGAAGUGGAACAUCAUUACGUUGAGGCGGGUCUGCAGACCGUUCAGGUGGUCACCACACAGCAAGAUAGUGGGGUUCCUCGAGCCGUAACGGAGCAGGUAGUGCACGCGAUACCGCAUCAGCAAGACCACCACCAAGAACAUCACCAGGAUCCCCGGGUUGUCGAGCAACACCGCGAAGAACCUGUCGUACAUCAGCUCAUUCCCAUGACCCUUCCUCAUGAAGCCGAGCUAGUGAUGAGUAUGAUGCAGGCACACCAGGCCAGUAUCUCUCAAGCGCAGUAACUACCAAGUUGGAACAACAGUUGGGAUGAUGUUCAUGACCCCUUGCACACUUAUAAUGCCCGUUUAAGAUUCCAACACAGACUAGUGUCGAAAAAAUUGUUUAGUAACUAUUUUGAUUGAAAAUUACAUAAUAAUUUACCACCGAGAUUGAAAUAUUGUAAUCAGUGUCCUGCCCCGUGCUCCUACUUAACCAUCCUCAAAUAAAAAUGCUUUUAUCAGGGGGUGUUUCAUAAAGAUGUUCGGAAGUUAAGAGCGAGUUUAAACACGACUUGUGAGCCUUUCUUUUACACUAACCACCGCCAAUGAACAUUUUGAAGUACACCGUUUACCACAAGAAUGGAUCAUCAGUAAUUCUUAAAGUCGUUCUUAACUUACGAGUAGCUUUAUGAAAUACCCACCGGGUGUAUGAUGGUAAAUGAUUUUAUUUACUAUUGAUCGGUCAAUCAAAGUUUAUUUAUUAAUGUAUUAAUAAAUCAACACUAAAAGUGUUGAUUUCCUCAUUCAUUCAUUAAAAAAACUUGAUAUUACAAGUAGGUUGGUAUUGCUUUCCAAUGAGUAAUGGGUUUAUUGAUUGGGCAUUUCUUUAUUAAGGUGAUUUUUGAAAUAUCAGUGGUAUGGGACUAUUGCGAAAUCGAUUUGUCGUACAUUUGUAUUGUUGAUAUCUAGGAGUAUGUCGGAGAUUGAUGGUAAAGUUUUUUGGAGGAGGUAACAGGUAAUGAAUUUUUUUCUCUCUAUCAAGAGAAUGAAUUGAUUUUUUUAUAUAGAUUUAUUUAUUCAUUUAUUUAAUGGCCAUAUGGGCUGUACUUUUUUGGCAGGAACUAUUAUUAUUUUUUUUUUUGAAAUAAUAAAUUCCUCUCUUCCAUGAAAGUAUCUCAAGAUAUUCAUGCUGUUCAUAGUUUCACUUCAGAAAUAUUGAUAAUAUUUUUCGUCCGGGGCUGUCAUUUACAUUUAUACAUUUACCUACCGGUUUGUUCGUUCGGAUGAGUCGUACAAGUGAUUCUAUUCGUAUAUAAUUUUUAAUUUUGCACGAAGUAUGCAUCUUCAUCCUGUUACAUGCUGAAAAAUAACAUUAUAGGGGUGAUGUUUCGUUUCCAUUUUGAAAGGAAUUGAAAAGAAAACAAAAAUGUUUCCAUAGCCUCAAAUUGUUUUCAUGUUAACCUUUUCUUUGGCCGAUGUUUGAAUAACUUCAUAAUAGAGCAAUGCGGGGGGGGAGAAGCCUUUGAAUCGGUUUCAUGUACCAUUAUGUUCGUUCAGAAAACAAUAUGAUACAAUGCAUUCAUUGUUGUGCAUGUAUAUAGUGGCCGUACGUCUACUUGAAAAUUGAAAUACUAUCUGCAUAGGAUGAAGACAGGAUUAAAGAAAAAAUACUUGUGAAAAAGAAGAAAAUGAUAGGGAAAAUAGGAAAAGAAAAGAAUUAAAGUACUGUUUGUAUUUGGCGUGCGCCGAAAAGUAAUCAAAAGUAUCACAAAAGAAAUGUAUUAUGUGAUAUAUCAUAAACGCGACUCUUCCAAUUUCAAGAAUCAUUUUUCAAGUUCUUAUUUGUACAGUAAAUUUGUUCAUAAUUUUCGGCAUUGAGUUAUUUCUUCAAUCUGACUUUGUAAUUUUCAUAUAGCAAUGAUUUUUCCAUAUCAACAGUUUGUUCACAUGACGUUUUCUCAUAUUUUGUAUUAUUAUUAACUUUUUGUAUUUAUUUAUUUGUUUUUUAAACUCAAGUUAGUAAUGUAUUGUCGUUACUUUAAGGUCAUAGACCUACUGAAUUUCAUGUUUUGUUUUCCAAAGCUACAUUAUACUGAUGAAACAAUAAAAAGUGUUCAUACUUGCUUUUCCACCGGA